UGCAUGACCGCCUAUAUACCGCCGUCGUAAGCUUACCCUGUGAGGGCUCAAUAGUAAGCAAAAUUGGCACAACCCAGAACGUCAGGUCGACGUGUAGCGAAUGAAAGGGGAAGAGAUGGGCUACAUUCACUAAGACAGUGAACACGGAUGAUAUGCUGAAAUGCAUAUCCGAAGGAGGAUUUAGCAGUAAGCAGGAAAUAGAGUGUCCCGCUGAAAUUGGCCCUGAAGCGCGCACACACCGCCCGUCACUCUCCCCGAGCCCAACAACUACAUGUAACUAAGAACAUCACAUAGCUAAGGGGAGGCAAGUCGUAACAUGGUAAGUGUACCGGAAGGUGCACUUGGAACAAC
rnacentral:rRNA from 1 species